rnacentral:lncRNA from 1 species
UUUUUUUUUUUAUGGAUAGCAUAUGACAAAUAGAAUUUUUUUUUUUUUAUGGAUAGCAUAGGCUGUCUACAUUAGCCCUCCCUCUUUAAAUUUGCCCAUCGUCACAACCCCGUCCUCACUUCUGAGGAAUUCACCGAGAACCUUGGCACUUAGUUUGUGAUUUUCCCCUCCUCUCUGUCUUUUGCAACCACCACAGUGGACAAUGCAACAACCCCCACCAAGCCAAAAAAUUUUGGAGAUACUCUAGCAUGUAAAUUAUAGGAAUGGGCUGAUAAGACAGAAGUGUGACAUUUGCCACAAACCUCUGUGUACCAAACCCCAACCACAGGGCAUUUCUUACCAUUUUCUAAAUAUGCUUUGCCUGUUUCAUGAUUCUACUCUUUGUGUACAUUCACUACUCUGGUUAUCUUGAAUGACCUUUGCUUAGACUCAAUUUGUAUAAAACUCCUACUUAUUCAAGGUCUAGGUGCUAUUUGCCUUCUCAGUAAAGCCUUUCCCAGCUCUAAAAGGCAGAACUACUGCAUUCCACACAGUUCUGUAAUUAUCUGGUCAAUGCAGAUUACACCUCACUCAACUUUGAAUGUUUUGAGGACAGGAACCAUACUUUAUGUAGCUUUCAGCAGUAUAGUUUACUGAAUGUUGUUAAAUGAGUAAAGAGAAUUUAAAAAAUGGAGUUCUCCUUGUGGUUCAAUGGUAAUGAACCCAACUAGUAUCCAUGGGGAUGCGGGUUCAAUCUUUGGCCCCACUCAGUGGGUUGAGGAUCCAGUGUUGCUGUGAGCUGUGGUGUAGAUCACAAACAUGGGUUAGAUCUGGUGUUGCUAUGGCUAUGGUGUAGGCCGGCAGCUGUAUCUCCAAUUUGACCCCUAGCCUAAGAACUUCUGUAUGCCAUGGGUUCGACUCUAAAAAAAAAAAAAAAACAAGGAUUCAACUAAACACCUAUCUAUUAAACACACAUAUAAGAAAGACUAUAGCUCAGCAAUAAUCUAUUAAACAUGAGAAGGAUAUUGUAUUAGGGCUAUGGGAGACACAAGUUAAACAAGACCUGGAACUAGUCCUCUAAUAAUUCACAGGAAGGAGCAUCCUUCUGUAAGAUAGAGGCAGGACCAAGCAUAAUGAAUUCUUAGUGGGUCCCACCAAGUACCUCUCAUAGAAUGUAUAUGCAGAGUGAUGUAAAUGAUUUUAUCUCGGGCACAGAGAAAAGUACAAGCCAUCAUCAUAUCAUCAUCAUCAUCACUGAUAUUUUAUUAAGAACUUACACUGUGCUAAGUACAAUAAAAACAUUCCUUUUAAUCAUCAGAAAACAGUAUAAUGUAGAAAAUAUCAUUAUUCCCAUUUUACAUGUGACUGACUGAGAGGGGUUAAGUUAUUUGUCCACAUAUCUUGCAAAUUAUCUACUUAAGAUUUGAGCACAGACUCUGAAUCUUACAGGCUCUUAAUCUUUCUGAGGUCAAAACAUUUCAACAAGAUACACUUUGUCUUAAAGAAACUUUCUAAUGUACUUCUUAGUAGGAAACUCUUUGGCACAAUUUUUAUCUGAAUAACACUCAACCCUCUGGACUGAACAGAUUAAUUAACAAAUUCAAUAUGGCGACAUCUCAGCACAAAUAUUCAUAGAGUGAGUGUAUUCCCUCUUCUAGGAUUUGACCACACUGUUUAAAUAACCUAACUAGCAAUUUGAACAUCUGGUGUGUUUAUUGACUCUCUCAGCAUUUUAGUAUCAGAUCCUAAAAUAGGGAAUUAUCAGUUCGUACUUCCUCAAUCUUAUGCUUUUUAACACUGAGAAACUGAUGCAAUAUCCUGAAAAAUAUAUCCUAUAAAUACCAAAAAGUGGCUGCAUUGCUCGAAGUAGUAGAUGUAGUGGCACUAUUACACAGAUGUGCACAUUUUUUAAACUUUUAGAAAAGCUAACACACAAUUGCUUUUAAACACAGGCCCCCUGCGAGAAAGAAAACAGCUUGGAUGUGUACUGUUUAAUAUGGAAUUGGAUCUUCUACAUUCUGUACACAUGGGAAAUAUUUGAAGGAUAAAAAAUAUGGGCGAGCAGAGCUGUAAAUUGAGGGGUACAUAUAAUUGGUGGAUGAAUUAUGCCCCCAAAAUUCAAAUACAUGAAAGGUGAAUGAAAAGGCCAAAGACACUAAAGGCAGUAUCUUUCACCUCAGAAGGGAGGGAGAGAAGAAGGAAGGAAGGAAGGAAGGGCUAGCUCUGCAGGCAAGAAUCACUCAGGAACAAUUAACAGGACCCAUCUUUUGCCCUAGGUUUGCUCUACAGUCCAGUAUGGGGCUCCUCCUUCUUACCCUGUAUGUUUAUCUUUUUCACUCUAUGUGCCAUCUCUUGCCUAGACACAGAGAACACAUCCUAGGAGAAAGAGAAAAGAAAGCCUGAACUUUGCAGCUUGUAAAUGAACUCACUGUGGAAGAGCUAUUUAAUGCAAAUGACAUAACCAGCAAGACCCCGGAAAGCUGAGCAGAGUGGAGCCUGGGAGGCCCCCUCUCUCCUCUUGCACGUGGCACACCCAUCGGCACUAAUAGGGCUUAAGCAUUCAUACCGAGGGGCUGCAAACCCCUGGGCAGAGACAGGCAGUAUACACACUAGACAUGGAAAAUGUAUGAGGAAAAAAAGAUUAACUGACAAAAAGUUAAUUAAAACUGCUCUGAUUAUGAGGUAGAAUUUAACAAUUACUUUAAAAAAUGCAGUGUGACACAGUGCAGCGCUGCAGCUGAAUUAAUCAUGAAUGAGGAGAGCGAUGUUUAAUUUUGGUGUGCAUGAGAAAAACACUCGACAGAUUUGACAAUUAGAGCAGGGCAACAGCCUUGCAUGGCACCAUGCGAGGCGGGUUUUCCCAGUGGUUUUUUGGGGAGGGGGCUAAGCAGAUGUGCUCAAAUAUUUACAAAUGCACAAUAUUCUCAUGCUCUUCAGCUGCCCACCCUGCUGAUUUCACAAGAAGUUGCCUUCAAUCUGGAGGCCACCGUGGAAGCCACACGUUUGUUUGCUCCCCACUGAAGAAGGCCUGGCUCAGCCAGGGUCUCCCUGCCUCCAGUCCCUGCACUCCAGAGACCAAAGUGGGCGACAGGUGACAAAGGAACAGAGCUCUUUCAAAUACUCUGCUUCCUUGGAGUUCCAGUCGUGGCUCAGUGGUUAAUGAAUCCAACUAGGGACCAUGAGGUUGCAGGUUCGAUCCCUGGCCUUGCUCAGUGGGUUAAGGAUCCGGCGUUGUGGUGAGUUAUGCAUUGCAGUGAGCUGUGGUGUAGACUACAGAUGCGUCUCAGUCUGCUGUGUAGGCCGGCAGCUAUAGCUCCAAUUAGACCCUUGGCCUGGGAACCUCCAUAUAUACAUGC